CGCAACCGCGGCGCAGUACAACGACCGCCAUUACGCCGGGAUGCACGGCCCCGUCGAACCAUAGGGCCAUCAUCCUCCCGUGCCCGGCGGCCACAUAAUGGGGCGUCCACACGACGCCAGCAACAACGACCGCGUCCGCGUCGCACCUCAGGCCUCAGCAGCGUCGUAGCCACUCUGCAGCAGCUUCAAAGGAUUCUAGGCUGAAAUAUUCGCCAAGGGGGGCCGGGAUGGCUAAAUGAGCCUUAGUCGCCUGCCCCACACCACACCUACACCCAUCACUAACACGCACACUCACCACACUCACCUCGACAUCACCACACUCCACAUCAACACCACCCACACGCGCGAGCGCAGGAUCCACACACUAAAUCACACACCAUAUCACUCUACUGAAAAAGGGUCCGCUUUUACACAAGCCAGUAUUGAUUCGUCCAUUACUGAAUGCACGUCGUCUUUUCGCCACACGCCGCUAGUUAUCGCCAUUUAUGCCGAUCUCCAUCAUUUAGACACAGCAUUUUGUGAAUAUAAGAAUUUUAAUAAUUUUUGAUCAAUACAAUUGUGAAAUUAACGUGUCCAGAACCCCCUCUAUACGGCCAUUAGAAGGCGUAUUUCUAUUCUUAAAUAAAAGUGUUUAUGCAAAUUGUGAAGGUGAAUAAAACAAUAAUAUUAAUUUAACUCAAAUUGUAUCCAUAACUUCUGAUAACGGUGCGAAUAUGCAACAAACAACAAAUAUUUUAUCAUUUGUUUCCGAACAAAAUAAUGAAACGGACAACGAAGAGUGCAUCAACGAUGACUAUAUACAAGAAAUCGAGCUUAUGGAAACAGUGCCCUAUAUAUUAAUAGGCAAUAUUCAAGUUUGUCGUUGUGAUGCACAUACAGCACAGCUGGUUGCUCUUGAUGUGAUGAAAUCAUUGGAUAUUAUGAAGUACUUACUCAAUUGCAGAAAUAUGACAAAAUACAUAAGAAAAAUCAUUAUGGAUAUCGUGAAAUAUUUGAAUUAAAAAUUGAAAAUGCCACAACUAGAUUGUCCAACCAGAUGGGGAUCUACUUACACAAUGUUAAGCAACUUGUUGGAAGCUAAACAUAUUUAAAGUAAAAUUGAAUCUAUUAAAAAUAAAUCGGAUGAAGAGAAUUUUGAUCUAGAUUCCUCGUUUUGGGAUUUUAUUGAGGCAUAUUGCAAUGUUUUCAGUCCCUUGCAAAAAGCCAUAAAAAAAUUUCAAGAGGAACAGUUACAUUAUAGUAACUUUUACGCCCAAUGGCUCAAGCUUAAAAUAUCUAAUGAAAAAUUAGUAAAGGAUACAAAUCUGAAUUUAACGAAAACUAUUGGAAAUGAAAUUUUAAAUUCUAUUGAAAAACGAACAAAAUAUUGUUGAAUAACAAAUUUAUAGUUUCUUGCUUGUUUUUGGAUCCACGUUUUCAAUAUAUGUUGAUCAACAAAAAAAUGACGCAAUAAAUCAUUUAAAAUAUAUUUGGGAUAGACUUAAUAGUCUUCACCCUACUGGCAAUAUGUGCUCAACUCCGAAUUCCAGCUCUAAUGAAAUACAGAACUAUUUUUUUGAUGAGGAAGACGAAUUGCUAGAAGCAUACUUAUCUCAAGGCGUUAAAUCAGAAGUCAACAGUACAAUCGAUGUAUAUUCAAAAAUUGAAAACCUGAAACUUUCUUAUCAGAGGAUUGACAUAGACGUUUUGUCUUAUUGGAAAAGAAAACAGUAUACCGACCAGGAAUUAUACGCAAUUAGUAAUGUUUGUUAUGCCGUACCGCCAACUCAGGUGUCGAUUGAACGAGCUUUCUCUACUUUAAGACUGGUGCUUACCGAGUCUCGCAAUCGAUUAAGCCACGAUGUUCUUGAGAACAUAUUGCUAGUAAAAUUAAAUCCUAGCUUUCUGGA